GCGGCGGUAUCCGAAUCGGUACAGGAAAUCGGCUCAAACCCGAUGCCCGAAAGGGCGUGUGGGUUCGAAUCCCACCCGCCGCA
rnacentral:tRNA from 1 species